CGGAGGGUGCAAACGUUGUCCGGAAUCACUGGGCGUAAAGCGCACGUAGGUGGUUUGGCAAGUGAAAGAUUAAAGACCGAUGCUUAACAUCGGGCCGGUUUUUCAUACUGCCAGACUUGAGUAUAACAGGGGUAAGCGGAACUUUAGGUGUAGGAGUGAAAUCCGUAGAUAUCUAAAGGAACACCAAUGGCGAAGGCAGCUUACUGGGUUAUUACUGACACUGAGAUGCGAAAGUGUGGGGAGCACACGGGAUUAGAUACCCCGGUAGUCCACACUGUAAACGAUGCUGACUAGGUCUUGGAGGGUAUCGACCCCUUUUGGACCGAAGCUAACGCGUUAAGUCAGCCGCCUGGGGAGUACGAACGCAAGUUUA
rnacentral:rRNA from 1 species